CCAGAGGAGGGAGUUGGGGCUGUGAGGGGUCUGGAGCACAAGUCUUACGCUGCCAUCCAGCCUCCUACAGCACAAAUCCAUAAGCUACUGCUAUAAGUCACUAGGUGGAAGCAUCUACCUUAAUACCAGCAACAUCACUCCUCAUUAGAGAGACAACUUUAUCAAAAAUACAGAAUGGUACCAGCACAGAAGGGCUUUCUCUGACCUUCUUUCUUUACCAGUAGCUGCCAUUUCUUCCACACUGUGAUUUCUCUUCUGCCUUUCUCCACUCGGAAUAGCUGUUUGUCUUGGAGAACAGUCAGGACACCAAUUAUCUACCAGCUGGGCAGACUUAGCUCCGUAGGUGAUCACCUCACAUCAAGGGACAGCUCAGCAGCUGGAGGUCUGCGGUGGAGAAGCACAGCUGUUAGCAGUGGUGACUGCAGUGGGUGGGCAAAGCAGCCAGAUCCUCACCCAGCUCCUCCUUCACCCAUGAGCCCUUCCUCAGACACCAGCCCUCCUCUUGGGUGAUGUGUGAAUGAGGAAGAGCUGGGUUUGCUUCUCAUACUGCAGAGUGACGUACG
ensembl:lncRNA